GGGCAUCACUGAAUACAUUGCAAACAGACAACCGGAAGAAUCCCAUGUGAACCACGGAAUGGUCAGGAGCUGGAGGAGACAGUUCAAUGAAUCUGGCAAUCCAGUGUGGAGUGAGAGUGGGAUCCCACUAACCCCGGAUCCCUGCUAGUAUGACUGGCCUGUCUGGGUCACGCCCAUGAAUGGAUGGAGAAAACUGCCCUAUAACUGGCUGAGAAAUCAUCCGCAAGGAGGUACCCAGUCAUUAAGGAAGAGCUGACAACAUCCCCUCCUCCUGAGAAGGGAGUGGUCAGACACAACAACCAAGAGGGAAUUCAACAGAGGGCUAUGCACUUUGCCAGAAGGAAGCUCACUGACCUACAAGAGAGGGUGAAACACAAGUCUCCUGGAAGGACUGCCAUUGGCCCAACAGUGGACUCGGCCCUCAUAAUGGAGUCCUACCUGGAAAUAGCUUCUAGUACCAGCUCUGGACCUGCCUUCUGGAGCCAGGAUUUACUCAGGAUUAAUUAGAUGGAUUUCCCACACCAGUCCUUCAACAGCUGUGGCAAAAGGUUCCGAGGGGAAACUGGAGGGGGACCACUGGAGAAGGGGGAGAAGACUACCACCCUUUUGGUGCUAAGUGCUAGCCUCCCCCAGUGAUUCAGGACAACCAAUCCCCACACUCAGCACCUAGGUGAUCAUUAGAAUACAGGAGAAGUGGAAGAUUCUCUUCAUCGUGGACAUGGAGGCUCAAAUUUUGGUGCUAUCCGAGUGUGAUGACAAGGGGCUUCAGUAUCUGAGGUGUUGGGACAGGUCCUAGAAUGGGACCUGGUCCAAGUAUCCUUGACACUGCCGCGAGGAGAGGUCUGAAGGAUCCUAGCAUUUAGGUGGAUUUCUUUGUUUGGAAUGGACAUCCUUGACAAGAUCCAAGUGAGCCCCGUUGCUGAAGAAUGGCAUCUGACCUUCUACCUCGGGGAAGGCCGGACAGAACAGAUUUGGAGGGAGCAAGGUAUUACUGCUGGAGAGAACACCAUUGCUGCCAUCCUCCACCAUAACCAAUAUCUGCCAGGACCGAAUUCCCCCCAGUGGCUUGCGCUGCUGUGACCGAACUGUUGAAGGACUUGCUGGCCAGGGAAAUACUGCAGCCAACACAGUCUCCAUUCAAUUCACUGAUGUGGCUGGCAUGGAAACUAGAUAGGGGUCUGACAGCUGAUGGUGGUCUUUCAGCCCCUGAACACCAAGAUCGGACUGUUGCGUGCUGCUGUCCCUUCCACGGCAGAUAUUCUAAGUUGGAUGGAAGUCCUGUCCGCAACAUGAAUGGCAGCCUUCGAUGUGAAAAACAUGUUCUUCAUGGUCCCAAUCCAAGGUCAGGACCAGGAUAGGUUUGCCUUUACCUGGGAGGGGCAACAAUAUACGUUUAUGCCCUUGCCCCAGAGAUUCAAGCACAACCCUACCAUCACAUAUCACCAUCACACUGGCCCAAGAGAUGGACCGGAUCAACCUUCCAGCCGGAGUUACCAUCCUCCAGAACAUAGAUGCUAUCCUGGUCGGGUGACAUGAUGAGGAACCAGUGACUACAGCCCUGAAAGUAAUCAUUAAACACUUGGAGGAUCAGGACAUAACCCCCCAAGAAGAUCCGAAUACCGGCCCAACAUGUCAUCUUCCUGGGAAUAUCAUGGGAAAGGGGCCCGAGAGGACCAGACACCAAUAUGACUACCCUAGCAACAGUGCCAAGCUUCACCUCUAAGGACAUCCUCCAGCCAGUCCUGGGAAUGUUGGGAUUUUGGAGACGCCUUCACCUGGGAUUUGCAAUUUGGGCCCAGCCCUCAUUCUCCCUGCUCAAAAAAGGUACCCAGUCAGAGUGGAUGGAGAUGCACGAGGAGGCCCUGUCUGAAAUCAUCCAAGCCAUGCAGCAAUACUGAGCCCUCUGACUCGUCAUUAGGGAAAUAUUAUUUGUCUUACAUAUGGAGGUCGGAACCACUGGGUGGCAGUAAGGCACAUGGCUCGGGAAGCCCCUACAGAUCCAAAUCCUAAUCAUGUUUGGAUCAGGAGGAUGGAAGGGAGCCGAGAGUUGACCUUCCCUGUGGGAGAAGAUGAUCGAGGCCAUGUACAGGGUAAACACGUGGCAAGUUUACCCCAGUAACAUCAACAAUGGCACAGCCUGCUGAGUCUGCCUGCACCUUCCACAUCACUAUGGGUAAUGUGCCCAGUUUCUGGCCAUUCCCUGUACGUUGGAGGAGUGGACAACAGGGUGAAGCAACGUUAUGGUAUCUCAUUGGACUUUACAGGGGCAUACUUGGUGGGUUUGGCAGUAACAACCCCUCUAGGUGUUUCCUGUUGUAACACCAGAAGAGGUAACCUUUUGCUGGGACAGUAUGAUGAGUGUCACUUCACCAUCACCCUGUAUGACUGGCAGAAUACACUUAAACGGUUUCAGUACCUCCCCCAACACCACUGACAACGAGGCUGUCAGAGCCCAAGAUACUUUUGAGAUUGACCAGGGCAACCUCACAGUGUGUAUGCAAAUUGAUGAGAUGGUUUCAGUUGUGACCAGUUCUGACUUAGAGAUUCUCAACCAACAGCCAGUUGUUAAUGGAAAUUAGCCUCAAUACCAUCAUGGUUGAGGAUACCCUCACAUCUGCCUUUCCUGAGUGGAAGGAAAAUCAGGAGUGGAACCGACCUCCUGGCCUGUUUCUGGUGUGCGGAACCCAUGCACACUCCUUCCUCCCCAACAAUGUAGCAGACAUACUCACCCUUGCCAACCUGGUUUCCUCCACCUAUACCAAUCUCACUCUGUAUCAGCCACUCCCCUAGAAUCUGGAGUGAAGCCAAUGCUCCACAAAGGCACCUUCCAAAGCCAAAGUGAUUGGAGUCCUGAGAGUUCUCUUUUCGGGGAUCUCCUCCCUAUUCAUUGGGCAGAGUGAGUUAGACUUGGCCCUGUGGAACCUUAUAGGCACCUUGAUGCAAAUGGCAAAUGUGACAGAGGAUGUGUGAUCACUGCCCUCCAAGAAGAACUUUAGGGACCAGAACAGAUGGUCCUCCAGAAUAGGCUUGCUUUGGACAUACUCUUCAUCAGCUAGGGAAGUGUGUACAUUCUCCUAAAUGGAUCACGUUGCAUAUACAUGGAUCAAAUCCAUGUAUUUGGAUUUUGUGACCCGAAACACUGAUUAAAUCAGUCAGAUAGGGCUUUCCCUCCAACAUACCCAGGAGGAAUGAGUGGGAAACUCCUCUCCAGAAAUGCAGGGAGACUCCCAGACAUACCAAAGUGGGCCCAAUCCAUUUUUCAUCUUUUUAUGCUUAUGUUGCUAAUUGCUUUGCUGAUCUGGACCUGGAAACUGCAAGUUGUACCUGCCCCACAAAUAACGGCAACAGGUCCAAAUCCAUGCCCACCACCCUUUCCUGGACUGAACAAUUGGUGUGGCCACAGGGUAGGGAUGUCACCCAAGACCUAUGUGACUCUACUUUGGCUGAACUAUUAUUUCAGGGCAAAUCAGGAAACAUGAGGAAGAAGCUUGAUGCACAUGAAAGUCAAGGAAACGCUGGUUUGUCUGUCCAUAACACAUCUAUCGUCCCUUGUCUGUGAGCCUGCCAACACACACAUUUGAAUAAUGCACUAAGGUCCUUGGGCGGUGGUCCUCAGAACCAACACCUGUUGCAACCUGGCUGUGCUGGAAUGAGAUUGGAGAACGGCAACCAAUCGGCAGGCACCCUUGUUUACUCCCAGGUGGAAGGUGUGAGUGGGGGUUACACUCACGGGGAGAGGUUGUCAUGUUCCUGUCAGUCUGUGUACCCUCUGAUGGACUGGUACACAGACCGACAUGGGCUUAAGGAGGGUGGGCCUUAGCAUGCUAGCUUGUGGGUU